rnacentral:pre_miRNA from 1 species
UCGGUAAAAUAGUGAGUAGCCGACACGGGGAAGUGAUCGACCCUUGGGAUAAGUUUAAAUUUGUUUUUUUUUUACUCCAUAAACUUUUUACCGUGGGUAAAAAGAUUCUUCUUGAGGUAUAAAAAAAAUCCAAUUUAAAUUUAGCCCAAGGGUUGAUGAUGUAUUUUUCACAUGAAGGCUGUUUCACUAUUUUACCCCAA